UACGAAGGGGGCUAGCGUUGCUCGGAAUCACUGGGCGUCAAGCGCACGUAGGCGGCUUUUUAAGUCAGGGGUGAAAUCCUGGAGCUCAACUCCAGAACUGCCUUUGAUACUGAGAAGCUUGAGUCCGGGAGAGGUGAGUGGAACUGCGAGUGUAGAGGUGAAAUUCGUAGAUAUUCGCAAGAACACCAGUGGCGAAGGCGAGUCUCUGGACAGCAACUGACGCUGAGGCACGAAGGCCAGGGGAGCAAACGGG
rnacentral:rRNA from 1 species